rnacentral:rRNA from 1 species
CAGGAUUAGAUACCCUGGUAGUCCACGCCGUAAACGGUGGGCGCUAGUUGUGCGAACCUUCCACGGUUUGUGCGACGCAGCUAACGCAUUAAGCGCCCCGCCUGGGGAGUACGAUCGCAAGAUUAAAACUCAAAGGAAUUGACGGGGCCCCGCACAAGCAGCGGAGCAUGCGGCUUAAUUCGACGCAACGCGAAGAACCUUACCAAGGCUUGACAUAUACAGGAAUAUGGCAGAGAUGUCAUAGCCGCAAGGUCUGUAUACAGGUGGUGCAUGGUUGUCGUCAGCUCGUGUCGUGAGAUGUUGGGUUAAGUCCCGCAACGAGCGCAACCCUCGUUCUGUGUUGCCAGCAUUAAGUUGGGGACUCACAGGAGACUGCCGGGGUUAACUCGGAGGAAGGUGGGGAUGACGUCAAAUCAUCAUGCCCCUUAUGUCUUGGGCUGCACGCAUGCUACAAUGGCUGGUACAAACGGCUGCGAUACCGCAAGGUGGAGCGAAUCCGAUAAAGCCAGUCUCAGUUCGGAUUGGGGUCUGCAACUCGACCCCAUGAAGUCGGAGUUGCUAGUAAUCGUAGAUCAGCAACGCUACGGUGAAUACGUUCCCGGGGCUUGUACACACCGCCCGUCACAUCACGAAAGUCGGUAACACC